UUGGAGGGCAAGUCUGGUGCCAGCAGCCGCGGUAAUUCCAGCUCCAAUAGCGUAUAUUAAAGUUGUUGCAGUUAAAAAGCUCGUAGUUGAAUUUCGGGGUCAGUAGGUUGGUCAUGCCACUGGUAUGUACUGGCCUCACUGAUUCCUCCUUCUUGAUGAGCCGUAAUGCCAUUAAUUUGGUGUUGCGAGGAAUCUGGACUGUUACUUUGAAAAAAUUAGAGUGUUUAAAGCAGGCUAACGCUUGAAUACAUUAGCAUGGAAUAAUGAAAUAGGACGUUCGAUCUUAUUUUGUUGGUUUCUAAGAUUGACGUAAUGAUUAAUAGGGAUAGUUGGGGGCAUUAGUAUUCAAUUGUCAGAGGUGAAAUUCUUGGAUUUAUUGAAGACUAACUACUGCGAAAGCAUUUGCCAAGGAUGUUUUCAUUAAUCAAGGACGAAAGUUAGGGGAUCGAAGACGAUCAGAUACCGUCGUAGUCUUAACCAUAAACUAUGCCGACUAGGGAUCGGAUGAUGUUAAUUUUUUAAUGACUCAUUCGGCGCCUUACGGGAAACCAAAGUGUUUGRGUUC
rnacentral:rRNA from 1 species